rnacentral:rRNA from 1 species
GAGGGCAAGUCUGGUGCCAGCAGCCGCGGUAAUUCCAGCUCCAAUAGCGUAUAUUAACGUUGUUGCAGUUAAAAAGCUCGUAGUUGAAGUGAGGGAGUGUGUGUUCAUGAGAGCUAGUCUCGAGUGUUCACAACCUCCCCCCUCCAAUCGGUGUAGUGGGGUAUUCAGUUAUUUCACUACUCCUUUGGUCGUUUACUGUGAGAAAAUUAGAGUGUUCAAAGCGGGCGUUUGUUUGAAUAGAUUAGCAUGGAAUAAUGAUUGAAGGCUUUCGUGUUCGAUUUGAUUGGU